GACGACUGGAUCUCCGUCGGUCUUCCCCCAACGAGAACGAGACGACGACUGGCUCUCGUCGUCGCCCGACCGCGGUGCCGAACGGUAAGCAUCUUUCGCAUCCCUUCCCCCGUUCUCUAUUUCUUUCAUAUUCGGUGAUCUUUUAGCCUCGACUGAUCUCGUUUGUCUCUCGUAUUGAUCUUUGUGUUCCCAUUUUGUUAUUUCCGGUCGACAAGAUGAGGUUUUUCUUUGAUUUUGAGGGUUUUCUACGAUUUCUACGUGAUUUCGGUUCUCUCGGACCCCUAAUGAAAUGGGUUACCGAAUAUGAGGAUGUUGUUGUGGUGAUUGAUCCCAAUUUCUUUUGGACUGCAUCAAAUUCAGUCAUUUACUACUUUGAAAAAAAUGUCAAGAAAAAAAAAUAUAUAUAUAAUUCUAAUUAUUCACUAAUAUUUUUAGAAGAUGCCAAGAAUGAUCAUAUCAAUAAUUUAUUACAAUUUUUACAUUGGUAUAUACGGAUGGUUGAUUUUUCGCUUUAUUAUAUUACCAUAUAUAUGGAGAUUAUACUUUUCCUCUUUUGUCUUUUGGAAUAUAAUUAUAUAUCACAAGACAUAUGGAGAUUUUUUGUAUUCCAUUAUCAUCUACGUUAGCAUUAUUAUGUUCGAAAGAUGUCAAGAAUGACCAUAUCAAUAAUUCAUUAUCAUUUGCACAAAUUACAGUGAAGUCGGUGGACUUCGGGAGCUACUAGGCGACGGACUAUCCUAGAACGGUGCUUCAUCUAGGUGUGACCCAAGAGUGGGUGGAUGAAGGUCGAUUGCCAAAGGAGCGAACAAAAUCGAAGGUGGAAGAGACCCUGCGAUGUAUUGGCAGAGGCCACAUAUUGAGGGUUCACAAUUCGAGUUCAUCUCAUAAGGAUCAAAAUGCAAUAGAGAUGACACCAGGAGGCGACAUGGUGCAGCGGAUCGUGGUGAAACAGUUCGUGACAAUGCGAUACACACGACAUAGUCCUGUGAGGGAUAAUGACAUAUUAAGAAAAAUACAUAUGUUUGAUUUCAUUUUAUUAUACUAUCAUUAUAUGUAAAUAUUUUUUUAUUUUUAUAAUUAGGAAAGAUCAUCAUAAAUUACAAGACAUAUUGAUAUCAAAUACUUUUUAUCGCUAUACCUUUUGUUAUUCAUCUACUACAUUAUGUCUAAUUUUUAUAUUCUACUACAUUGGUAUAUUAAGAAGAAUAUUGAUGGUUGAUUUUUUACUUUAUUAUAUUACCAUAUAUAUGGAGAUAAUACUUUUCCUCUAUUGUCUUAUGGAAUAUAAUUAUAUAUCACGAGACAUAUGGAGAUUUUUAUAUUCCGCCAUCAUCUACAUUAUCAUUAUUAUGUUUAAAAGAUGUCAAGAAUGACCAUAUCAAUAAUUUAUUAUCAUUUUCAUAAUGACAUAUUAAGAAAAAUGUAUAUGUUUGAUUUUAGUCUUAUUAUACUAUCAUGUAAAUAUUUUUUUAUUUUUAUAAUUAUGAAAUAUCAUCUUAAAUUACAAGACAUAUCAAAAUUUUUAUAUUACACUAUCAUAUACUUUAUUGCUAUACCUUUUGUCAGAAGUGACAUCAGAAAUGGAUGGUUGAUCAUACUGUAUGUAUGAAUAGCUUCAGGCAUGCCUGUCACACUUUUUACUACUCAAUAAUAACUCAGCAGCACACUCAAAAGUACGCCCUCCGCAAGCAUCUGAAGUAAAUCAUCAAAGACAGGCAUCCAGGUUGAUGGAUCUGAAAGAUGAUGUGAUGCAAUUUCAUCGAGCAAAGGGAAAA
rnacentral:lncRNA from 1 species